CCAGGUCCAGAUGGAGGAGCCAAACAUCUCACAAGGACUAUGCAACGCCCAAAAGCAUCUGUUUUUCAAAUGAAACCAGCACAAAUCCAUGCAUGGGACGGAGAUUCCAGAUACAAAACUCCUCAGGCUGUUCCUUUGGCUUGCUGUCCACACUGGUGCAUGGCACAGGCUGCUGACCACCCCCUGCAGCCAUCCUGGCACAGUGGGCAGUGGAAUGGACUGCCAGGCACGCCAGGAGAGCCACUCUGCUUGCACACCACAGGCACAUGCUCCCAAAGGUGUGUGUUCACGUGCAGCUGAGCAGGGCUUGACACACUGACACUCAUCCCAACCUCCCAUGAUUUGGAAAUUAUCUUUGGAGCAGGGAGGAAAGCAGGGGGGGAAAUCCAGCCAGAAGUGUUUGUGCUGUGGCAACAUGAACAACGCAAAUAUUUCAGCUUUUAAAUAUGCUUGGAAUGACAGAGAAUGCCAACACAUCCCUCAUCUUCCCAGAAAUAACUUUGAAUCAUUGCUCCCCUAACGUAAAUUCCCCACCCCACCAAAUAGUUUUUUUUUUUUGCAACCAGAUUUUUAUCAGGCACAAGGCGACAGUGUGAGCAAGCACAUGGCAGAUGGGUGGGUGUCAAACACGUCACAGCAGGAUCCUCCUUGACUCCACAACCCCAGCUCCACUCGAGCUGCUGGACUCAACAACCCCACGCCACUCACUCCUGAUGGGCACCCAGCUCCACUGGCUCAGCUUCAGAGGGAGAGCCCAGCUGCAAGGAGAGUUAACAAGAACUGCUGUGCUCUGCAGGGGAAGGAGGACAAAAGCAGGAAAGACGUAGGGCUGGUCAAGACAGGCACUGGCACAGGUCUCUGCAUCUCACUUGGGUUCUGGAUAACUGGGAUGGAGCAAGAGGGUGCUGGCAGCAUUGGUGCGUCCCCUGUGCAUUGGUGCUACCACAGCUCCACAGGAUCCCUCCACCUGGGCGUCCUGCAGGGCUUGCUGGCAGCCAGCCCCUCCACACCAGAUGUGGGCACAGCCACAGCUGGCCAAGGAAGCAUCUCCCCCUCUCCCAGCAGAGAUGCACGGCUGGGCAAACCAGACCCGCGCUGUCUCUCGGUCCUCGCUCGCGGACAUUCCGCAAAAGCCCAAGAAACAAGCCCGGAGCUCUUUUGCUCAAGUGAAAAACAGCCUCCCGUGGGGAAGGGAGAGCCCAGAGUGAUCCUGCUGCAAACUCUCAGGCUAUGGGAGGACACACAUCCAGGGACGGCCGACGCUCACAGCUUGUUCCAUUCUCCAGCCCCUCUGCGCUAUUGUUCCACAGCAAUAAAUCACGGGGAGGCGCUGGAAUUCCGGGCUGUUUCCUACGGGAGGGAGCCUGGGGUGCCGGAACCGAGCUGCU